GGAGGCAGCAGUAGGGAAUCUUCGGCAAUGGACGAAAGUCUGACCGAGCAACGCCGCGUGAGUGAAGAAGGUUUUCGGAUCGUAAAACUCUGUUGUUAGAGAAGAACAAGGACGUUAGUAACUGAACGUCCCCUGACGGUAUCUAACCAGAAAGCCACGGCUAACUACGUGCCAGCAGCCGCGGUAAUA
rnacentral:rRNA from 1 species